rnacentral:sRNA from 12 species
UUGAUGCCGUAACAUCAAGCGAACUUAACCAGCUAAUUUAGUUCGUCUUAAUGUGGCCUAU